AUUGAACGCUGGCGGAAUGCUUUACACAUGCAAGUCGAACGGCAGCACGGGGGCAGCCCUGGUGGCGAGUGGCGAACGGGUGAGUAAUACAUCGGAACGUGCCCGGUCGUGGGGGAUAACGUAGCGAAAGGUACGCUAAUACCGCAUACGAUCUGAGGAUGAAAGCGGGGGACCUUCGGGCCUCGCCCGAUCGGAGCGGCCGAUGUCAGAUUAGGUAGUUGGUUGGGUAAAGGCCUACCAAGCCGACGAUCUGUAGCUGGUCUGAGAGGACGACCAGCCACACUGGGACUGAGACACGGCCCAGACUCCUACGGGAGGCAGCAGUGGGGAAUUUUGGACAAUGGGCGCAAGCCUGAUCCAGCCAUGCCGCGUGAAGGACGAAGGCCUUCGGGUUGUAAACUGCUUUUGUACGGAACGAAAAGGCUCUGGCUAAUACCUGGGGCUCAUGACGGUACCGUAAGAAUAAGCACCGGCUAACUACGUG
rnacentral:rRNA from 1 species